UAGCAAGCUGGCCCUUCACUACUCUUUGUUGUGUCAGCAGGAGAUCCUUUAGAGGCAGAAGUCUAGAGUCUAAUGGAUUAGAGAGGGAGAUAAGAAUAUAAGAUUCUUUCACCAAUCAACCAUCACGAGGAGAUAGAGGAACCGGAUCAGGGUGCUGUGUGAUGAGGUGGGAGACUAGAUUGAGGAUGAGCAAGGGAUUUGACAGGAGCUUCUCCACUUCUUCCCUAAGCGGUGGACUGCUCAUCUGGG
rnacentral:lncRNA from 1 species